UACGGGGGGGGCUAGCGUUGUUCGGAAUUACUGGGCGUAAAGGGCUCGUAGGCGGCCAACUAAGUCAGACGUGAAAUCCCUCGGCUUAACCGGGGAACUGCGUCUGAUACUGGAUGGCUUGAAUCCGGGAGAGGGAGGCGGAAUUCCAGGUGUAGCGGUGAAAUGCGUAGAUAUCUGGAGGAACACCGGUGGCGAAGGCGGCAUCCUGGACCGGCAUUGACGCUGAGGAGCGAAAGCCAGGGGAGCAAACGGG
rnacentral:rRNA from 1 species